rnacentral:rRNA from 1 species
UACGUAGGGUGCGAGCGUUGUCCGGAAUUAUUGGGCGUAAAGGGCUCGUAGGCGGUUUGUCGCGUCGGGAGUGAAAUCCACUGGCUUAACUGGUGGCUUGCUUUCGAUACGGGCAGACUGGAGGUAUGCAGGGGAGAACGGAAUUCCUGGUGUAGCGGUGAAAUGCGCAGAUAUCAGAAGGGACACCGGUGGCGAAGGCGGUUCUCUGGGCAUGUCCUGACGCUGAGGAGCGAAAGUGUGGGGAGCGAACAGG